rnacentral:rRNA from 1 species
CCGCCGCGGUAAAACCAGCACCUCAAGUGGUCAGGAUGAUUAUUGGGCCUAAAGCAUCCGUAGCCGGCUCUGUAAGUUUUCGGUUAAAUCUGUACGCUCAACGUACAGGCUGCCGGGAAUACUGCAAAGCUAGGGAGUGGGAGAAGUAGACGGUACUCGGUAGGAAGUGGUAAAAUGCUUUGAUCUAUCGAUGACCACCUGUGGCGAAGGCGGUCUACUAGAACACGUCCGACGGUGAGGGAUGAAAGCUGGGGGAGCAAACCGGAUUAGAUACCCGGGUAGUCCCAGCUGUAAACUAUGCAAACUCAGUGAUGCAUUGGCUUGUGGCCAAUGCGGUGCUGCAGGGAAGCCGUUAAGUUUGCCGCCUGGGAAGUACGUACGCAAGUAUGAAACUUAAAGGAAUUGGCGGGGGAGCACCACAAGGGGUGAAGCCUGCGGUUCAAUUGGAGUCAACGCCAGAAAUCUUACCCGGAGAGACAGCAGAAUGAAGGUCAAGCUGAAGACUUUACCAGACAAGCUGAGAGGUGGUGCAUGGCCGUCGCCAGCUCGUGCCGUGAGAUGUCCUGUUAAGUCAGGUAACGAGCGAGAUCCCUGCCUCUAGUUGCCACCAUUACUCUCAGGAGUAGUGGGGCGAAUUAGCGGGACCGCCGCAGUUAAUGCGGAGGAAGGAAGGGGCCACGGCAGGUCAGUAUGCCCCGAAACUCUGGGGCCACACGCGGGCUGCAAUGGUAACGACAAUUGGUUUCGAAUCCGAAAGGAUGAGGUAAUCCUCAAACGUUACCACAGUUAUGACUGAGGGCUGCAACUCGCCCUCACGAAUAUGGAAUCCCUAGUAACUGCGUGUCAUUAUCGCGCGGUGAAUACGUCCCUGCUCCUUGCACACACCGCCCGUCGUUUCAUUGAAGUGAGCUUUUAGCGAGGUGACGUCUAA